rnacentral:rRNA from 1 species
AAGCGUAAUAGCUCACUGGUCUAGUGAUUCUGCGCGGAAAAUAUAACGGGGCUAAAAUGAGUACCGAAGCUUUAGACUUAGUUUUACUAAGUGGUAGGAGAGCGUUGUAUUUAGCGUUGAAGGUAUACCGGUAAGGAGUGCUGGAGCGAAUACAAGUGAGCAUGCAGGCAUGAGUAGCGAUAAUUGGGGUGAGAAUCCCCAACGCCGUAAACCCAAGGUUUCCUACGCGAUGCUCGUCAUCGUAGGGUUAGUCGGGUCCUAAGCAAAGUCCGAAAGGGGUAUGCGAUGGAAAAUUGGUUAAUAUUCCAAUACCAAUUAUUAUGUGCGAUGGAAGGACGCUUAAAGUUAGUGGAGCUAGCGGAUGGAAGUGCUAGUCUAAGGGUGUAGGUUGAGUUAUAGGCAAAUCCGUAACUCUUUAUCCGAGACCUAAAAGGCUCAUGACGCUCUUCGGAGUAGAUUGAGAAUCCAUGAUACUAUCGAGCCAAGAAAAGUUUCUAAGUUUAGUUAUAGUUGCCCGUACCGUAAACCGACACAG